rnacentral:rRNA from 1 species
GACGAACGCUGGCGGCGUGCUUAACACAUGCAAGUCGAACGGAAAGGCCCUGCUUUUUUGGGGUUCUCGAGUGGCGAACGGGUGAGUAACACGUGAGUAACCUGCCCUUGACUUUGGUAUAACUUCAGGAAACUGGGGCUAAUACCGUAUAGGAUCUCCUGCUGCAUGGUGGGGGUUGGAAAGUUUCGGCUGUUGGGGAUGGACUCGCGGCUUAUCAGCUUGUUGGUGGGGUAGUGGCCUACCAAGGCUUUGACGGGUAGCCGGCCUGAGAGGGUGAACGGGCACAAUGGGACUGAGAUACGGCCCAGACUCCUACGGGAGGCAGCAGGGGGAAAUAUUGCACAAUGGGCGGAAGCCUGAUGCAGCAACGCCGCGUGCGGGAUGACGGCCUUCGGGUUGUAAACCGCUUUCGCCUGUGACGAAGCGUGAGUGACGGUAAUGGGUAAAGAAGCACCGGCUAACUACGUG